GACGAACGCUGGCGGCGUGCUUAACACAUGCAAGUCGAACGGAAAGGCCCUGCUUUUGUGGGGUGCUCGAGUGGCGAACGGGUGAGUAACACGUGAGUAGCCUGCCCUUGACUUUGGGAUAACUUCAGGAAACUGGGGCUAAUACCGGAUAGGAGCUCCUGCUGCAUGGUGGGGGUUGGAAAGUUUCGGCGGUUGGGGAUGGACUCGCGGCUUAUCAGCUUGUUGGUGGGGUAGUGGCUUACCAAGGCUUUGACGGGUAGCCGGCCUGAGAGGGUGACCGGCCACAUUGGGACUGAGAUACGGCCCAGACUCCUACGGGAGGCAGCAGUGGGGAAUAUUGCACAAGGGGCGGAAGCCUGAUGCAGCAACGCCGCGUGCGGGAUGACGGCCUUCGGGUUGUAAACCGCUUUCGCCUGUGACGAAGCGUGAGUGACGGUAAUGGGUAAAGAAGCACCGGCUAACUACGU
rnacentral:rRNA from 1 species